CAUUAGACCAUUCUUGAGAAGAAUCAGAAAAUGUAGUUUAACACAAUAUUGAAAACUAUGGCUGUCCUAUCCAUCCUGGGAAUGCUGCACGGUUAUUUUUACUGAACUGUGUUGCAUGCAACAAUGCUUAAAUCCUUUCCAUCACUGAUUAGGGGUCACUAAAAACAUAUGCACAAAAAAUUCAAAGAAGUGUUCCUACUAGCAAUUGUAUGUAAGGAUUCUUUAUGCUAAGAUCACCUAGAUCACUGUCUAAGCAAGUGUGUUAUACAGGAAUAUACAGGAAGCACCAUCGAAGGUUAAGUCAGGAAAAGGCAGCACCUUCAUUUUACAUUUAUUAAAAUUAAAAUUCAUGUUUCAUUUCUCUGAUCGUCAUAGUUAAAAAACAGCAAGCUUGCACACACAUGUCCAAUGAGUAAAGUGACUAAAGAAGAAAUUUACACACAAAUUCAGAAAUGUAGAAACAAAAGAAGGCUUCUAAUAAUAAAGGCAACUCUAAAAGCAAAAUACUCCUCCGAAGUUUCAGAUUCCUUUUUUUUAAAAAAAAGAAAAGGAAAAUUGGUAAAGAAAAGCAUUUUAUCUAUGGUAAUUUUGUUUUUUGGGGGGUUUUUUUGUUUGUUUUCUUGUUCUGGAUAGCACUGGGACUCUCAUUUCCUACUGGGCAGAAAUUGAAACCUCAGCCUGGCCACCAUGGGAUUUCUUGCAACAUUAAUUGGAAUGUCAGGAAGAGGCUAUUUCCAGAGCAGUCUGCUCAGGGGUGAUUUAUUUGCUUCUAAAAUAUCAAUGCACCUGCCUUUGGCACGGCACCCAGGGGAAGGGAGAGCGAGCUCCCGGGCCACCCGCGGCAGGGGCGAGUGCCACGGCGGUGACGACACCGGGCUCUGCCGGGGAGGAGGAGACCUGCAUGCAGCAAAGACCGGAGCCCCCGGCACGGCAGCAGGACGGUCACUGCAGGAUCCCUGGCAAAGUCACGUGCAUUGGCUUCGAGCCCUGGGCCUCAAGAUGGAACUGAGGCCUUUAACAGAGGUGAAGCAAUACAUGACAAAACUCCUGUAGUUAAGCUUUUGACUUGUUUAUUUGGAGGCUGGUAUUAUCCACACUUGCUGUCCACGGACGUAUCAGCAUGACAACAGGGACUGGUAGAAUUCCUAUUAUUCACGGUUAUGCUACUCUCUCUACAUUUAUCACAUCAGACGUACAAACCUGAUUUGUGUAUAUUGUCAUUGCAAACCAUGACUAAAUUGAUUUCUCUUCUACUUUGUUCUUUAAUGAGUUUUCUUCUAGAGCUUUCUUCUGAUAUUUUUUCCCAAAUGUGAAAUAAGACAAUAGUUUCAUAUAUGUCUUUUCUGGUCUGUGACUGUCACCUCUGGACAUUGCCCAAUAAAAUGAGGAUUUUAUUUCA
rnacentral:lncRNA from 1 species